rnacentral:rRNA from 1 species
UGGGGAAUAUUGCACAAUGGGCGCAAGCCUGAUGCAGCCAUGCCGCGUGUGUGAAGAAGGCCUUCGGGUUGUAAAGCACUUUCAGCGAGGAGGAAGGUGGUGAACUUAAUACGUUCAUCAAUUGACGUUACUCGCAGAAGAAGCACCGGCUAACUCCGUGCCAGCAGCCGCGGUAAUACGGAGGGUGCAAGCGUUAAUCGGAAUUACUGGGCGUAAAGCGCACGCAGGCGGUUUGUUAAGUCAGAUGUGAAAUCCCCGGGCUCAACCUGGGAACUGCAUUUGAAACUGGCAAGCUAGAGUCUCGUAGAGGGGGGUAGAAUUCCAGGUGUAGCGGUGAAAUGCGUAGAGAUCUGGAGGAAUACCGGUGGCGAAGGCGGCCCCCUGGACGAAGACUGACGCUCAGGCUGCGAAAGCGUGGGGCAGCAAACAGGAUUAGAUACCCUGGUAGUCCACGCUGUAAACGAUGUCGAUUUUGGAGGUUGUGCCCUUGAGGCGUGGCUUCCGGAGCUAACGCGUUAAAUCGACCGCCUGGGGAGUACGGCC